rnacentral:rRNA from 1 species
UACAGAGGGUGCGAGCGUUAAUCGGAAUUACUGGGCGUAAAGCGCGCGUAGGCGGCUUUGCAAGCCGGAUGUGAAAUCCCCGGGCUUAACCUGGGAACUGCAUUCGGGACUGCAUUGCUAGAGUAUGGGAGAGGGAAGUGGAAUUUCAGGUGUAGCGGUGAAAUGCGUAGAUAUCUGAAGGAACAUCAGUGGCGAAAGCGCUCUACUGGACCUCAUCUGACACUCAGGGACGAAAGCUAGGGGAGCGAAUGGG